rnacentral:lncRNA from 1 species
GUAAUUUUAUUGAUAUCUUCUCAUCUUGAUGAUGUUCUUCCGUCCGAACACAAACGCAACCAUUGUUGAUGUCAAUAAUGUAUCAUUCAGGCCGGUGCAUCAGAGCACGCGAGAGCACUUGGCCCUAAAGGUUCCGAUGCCCACAAGGCUGCAGUGAUCGGCGAUACCAUCGGGGAUCCUCUAAAGGACACGUCGGGGCCGUCGCUCAACAUCCUCAUCAAGCUGAUGGCGGUGGAGUCGCUCGUGUUCGCACCAUUCUUUGCGGCUCACGGCGGCCUCCUCUUCAAGAUCCUCUGAGAUGGGAGAGGGGGGGGGACCGAGAGUGGGAAGGAGGCACCACCACGAGCUCCACUUCCACCUCCAUGUUCUUCUGCUACUGAUGCCAAACCUCUGUCACCCUGUCAACUGUUUGGCCUACCCAGUUUUCCGUCUUUAUGGUUAGUUCGUGUUGUAGUUCCAUGCAAGUCGGCACCUGCAAAGCCCCAUCGUGGACUUUGGAGCCAAGCAAGCUUUUCUUGUACUCGGUGAUGAUGAUAAUGGUGUUGACAGUUUUCUUUUCUUUUAAAUGGUGAUGAUAGUUGGAAAUGAUUCACCAAUAAGUUUUCUGCUGGCCAUAGCUACAGGGAGUUGGGUGUCUAAUGUCAUCAUCAUACAUGAUGCAGCCCAAGAUUUGAAAUUAAGAUUAAUUGAUUUUAUUAAUCAUCAUACAAAGCAUACGUGAUUGAUUUCGUAAAGGUCAAAAAAGAAAACUCAAAGCCUACAAAAUUUGCUUGAGUAAUUAUGUUAUUGUUUUCUCACCUUAUUAGGUGUUCGGGUUACUUCCAACCCGUAUUUAUAUCCCCAACUCAUAUCGAGCUUUGGUUUUGUAUCCGAGUCAUACUCAAGUCUUAGUCUUGGUUUGUAUCCAAGUUAUACUCUUGAGUUUUGGUUUGUAUCCGAGUUAUACUCUUGGGUUGUACUCGAGUCAUAUUCGGCAUGACUCAAGUCAUAUUCGGCUUGUAUUAAGCCUUGGUUCAAUUAAGAUUGGAUCGGUACCACAGUGAAGGAAAAGAAAAAGAAGAGAAAGCGAUUGAGAAAAAAAUAAGAAGAAAAAAAAUAUAUACCAUAAUGAAGGAAAAAAGCUCAAUCUGUAUCCGUCGAGUCUUCGACUCAUAUUGAGCCUUGGUUCGAUUAAGAUCGGAUCGGUACCAAAACGAAGAAAAAAAAAAAGAGAAGACGAUAAAAAAAAA